rnacentral:rRNA from 1 species
CGAACGGGUGAGUAACGCGUGAGGAACCUGCCUCAAAGAGGGGACAACAGUUGGAAACGACUGCUAAUACCGCAUAAGCCCACGGCUCGGCAUCGAGCAGAGGGAAAAGGAGCAAUCCGCUUUGAGAUGGCCUCGCGUCCGAUUAACUAGUUGGUGAGGUAACGGCCCACCAAGGCAACGAUCGGUAGCCGGACUGAGAGGUUGAACGGCCACAUUGGGACUGAGACACGGCCCAG